CAACCUCAACUCAUAUGGGACUCCCCCCCUGAAUUUAAGCAUAUUAAUUAGGGGAGGAAAAGAAACUACCAAGGAUUUUCUUAGUAGCGGCGAGCGAAAAGAAAACAGUUCAGCACUAAGUCACUUUGUCUAUAUGGCAAAUGUGAGAUGCAGUGUAUGGAGCGUCAAUAUUCUAGUAUGAGAAAUUAAUGAUUUAAGUCCUUCUUAAAUGAGGCCAUUUACCCAUAGAGGGUGCCAGGCCCGUAUAACGUCAAUGAUUGCUAGAUGAUGUUUCCAAAGAGUCGUGUUGCUUGAUAGUGCAGCACUAAGUGGGUGGUAAACUCCAUCUAAAACUAAAUAUAACCAUGAGACCGAUAGUAAACAAGUACCGUGAGGGAAAGUUGAAAAGAACUCUGAAUAGAGAGAAAAACAGUACGUGAAUCUGCUUAGAGGUUAAGCCCGAUGCACCUGAAUAUCCGUUAUGGAAAAUUCAUCAUUAAAACUGUGCCUGGCG
rnacentral:ncRNA from 1 species